CGGGACUGACGGGGCUCGAACCCGCA
rnacentral:tRNA from 2 species